GACGAACGCUGGCGGCGUGCCUAAUACAUGCAAGUAGGACGCUGAAGGAGGAGCUUGCUUCUCUGGAUGAGUUGCGAACGGGUGAGUAACGCGUAGGUAACCUGCCUGGUAGCGGGGGAUAACUAUUUGAAACGAUAGCUAAUACCGCAUAAUAGUAGAUGUUGCAUGACAUUUGCUUAAAAGGUGCAAUUGCAUCACUACCAGAUGGACCUGCGUUGUAUUAGCUAGUUGGUGGGGUAACGGCUCACCAAGGCGACGAUACAUAGCCGACCUGAGAGGGUGAUCGGCCACACUGGGACUGAGACACGGCCCAGACUCCUACGGGAGGCAGCAGUAGGGAAUCUUCGGCAAUGGACGGAAGUCUGACCGAGCAACGCCGCGUGAGUGAAGAAGGUUUUCGGAUCGUAAAGCUCUGUUGUAAGAGAAGAACGAGUGUGAGAGUGGAAAGUUCACACUGUGACGGUAUCUUACCAGAAAGGGACGGCUAACUACGUG
rnacentral:rRNA from 1 species